rnacentral:lncRNA from 1 species
GUGUUGUUUUACAUUUUUUACAUCAGUAUUAUUAAUUCAUGUCAGAAAAUUUAUUAAAUACAUGUACAUGUGAGUGUGUGUGUGCGUGAGUGUGUGUGUGAGUGAGUGUUGGUUUAUAUAUAUCCUGGUGGGGACUUAAACCUGACUACACACAGACUCAUGGGGACUCGUGUCACGGUGGGGACCUAAAUUGUGGUCCCCACGGGUACAAAAGCUUAUAAAUCAUACAGAAUUAAGGUUUUUGAAAAUCUAAAAAUGCAGAAAGUCUCCUGUGAGUGGAAGGUUUAGGGGUAGGGUUGGUGUAGGGCAAUAGAAUGUACAGUAUAAAAACCAUUACGCCCAUAGAGAGUCCCCACAAGGAUAGCUGACCAGACAUGUGUGUGUGUUUUAAGCGCAGCAGGAAGUGGCUGGUGUGCUAAGUCACAUGUCGACACCAUGAGGACAAGGAGCAACCUUGUGCUUUUGAACUCCAGGUGAGCAGCCCUGCGGUAAAAAUUCAGUAAAGGGCUGCAACCGCAACAUGGACGGGGUCACAUGACACCUGGGUCUAUGUUCACAGAAGAGUGAUCCUUUCCAGUGGUGGUAAAUUACCCAGCAUUCACGGACUAGUGGUGUGCGAGGUGAGUUUUACUAACACUGACUCUCAGUGACAAACUCGAUUUGUUUUGACUUGAUUCAUAUUUUGCUGCUUUGUAAUGAUUUGUAUGGUACAUAAAUUUGAGUUCAAUAAGGCAAAUGUAAAUAUUUGAAAAUGCUCAUAAUCGGUUACUUUUAAA